rnacentral:rRNA from 1 species
AUUGAACGCUGGCGGAAUGCUUUACACAUGCAAGUCGAACGGUAGAGGGGGCAACCCCUCGAGAGUGGCGAACGGGUGAGUAAUAUAUCGGAACGUGCCCAGUCGUGGGGGAUAACGUAGCGAAAGUUACGCUAAUACCGCAUACGAUCUAAGGAUGAAAGCGGGGGAUCGCAAGACCUCGCGCGAUUGGAGCGGCCGAUAUCAGAUUAGGUAGUUGGGGGGGUAAAGGCGCAACAAGCCAACGAUCUGUAGCGGGUCUGAGAGGACGACCAGCCACACUGGAACUGAGACACGGUCCAGACUCCUACGGGAGGCAGCAGUGGGGAAUUUUGGACAAUGGACGCAAGUCUGAUCCAGCCAUUCCGCGUGCAGGAUGAAGGCCCUCGGGUUGUAAACUGCUUCUGUACGGAACGAAAAGGUCUCUCUUAAUACGGGGGGCUCAUGACGGUACCGUAAGAAUAAGCACCGGCUAACUACGUGCCAGCCGCCGCCGUAA